rnacentral:ncRNA from 1 species
UUAAAGUUUUAUUCUGGCUUAUAUAUUAAGUAUCUGUAUUUAAUUAUAUGAAAAUUUUAGUAAGUUUAAUUAAUUUUUUAGAAAAAAAUUAAUUUUGUAAUUUAUUCUCAGUAGUUAAUUUUAAAUUUAAAAGGAAUUUUGAUUUAGAAAUAGAGUUUAGUAUUAACAAAUUUUGUGCCAGCAGUUGCGGUUAUACAAAAAAUGCAAUUUAAUAUACACAGUUUUAGUUAAUUUAAAAAUAAAGUGAUUUUAAAUUUAUUUUUAUUAGGUGAAAUUUUAAUAUUAAUAUAAAAUUAUUUUUAUAUUAGUGAAGCUAGCAAAUUUAAGUAGUAGACUAGGAUUAGAUACCCUAUUAUUUUAAAUGUGAAUUAUAUAAACUGAAUUAGUAAAAGUUAUGGGCUUUAAAGUUAAAGAAUUUGGCGGUAUUUUAGUCUAUUCAGAGGAACCUGUCCUGUAAUUGAUGAUCCACGAUUAACUAUACCAUUAUUUUUAAUUUAUAUAUCGUCGUAGUUAAAUAUUUUAGGAGAAUAAUAAUAUUUAUGAUUUUUUAAUAAAAAGUUAAUCAGAUCAAGAUGUAGUUUAUGUAAUGGAAGAGAUGGGUUACAAUAAAUUUAUUUAUGAAUAAGUAAUUGAAAAUUAUAUUUGAAAAUGGAUUUGAAAGUAAUUAUAUAUAUAUAUAUAUGAUGAUUAGAGCUCUAAAAUAUGUACAUAUCGCCCGUCGCUUUCACCCUAAAGUGAAAUAAGUCGUAACAGAGUAGUCUUACUGGAAAGUGUGGCUGGGAUGGU